AUACCUGUCAUUCGCUCGGACAACACGUAAAAUGUAUUCGAAGUGUGUUUUGAUGUUUUUAGUCUGUACUGUGCUCGUGAAUGUGGUCACGGCCAAUCCUAAGGAUGUGAGUGAGAGCCGGCAUAGACGCUGGCUAACCAGCAACAACAGAUGUGACAACUUAGACAAGUACGUCGGGGGCGACUGCGGAUACGAAUGCAGUACAUACUGUGGUUACAAUGACUGCAGCGGGGCGUGCUCCGGCGCACUGUGCACGUGCACCGACAGAUAUUGACCGAGACACAUCUUUAGCAACACAUUAAUAAAAAAAGGUUUUUAAUUUA